UUCUCCUUCAUUGGCCUAACAAGACACACCUCUCCACAACCCACUCUCCCUCCUCGCCCAGGUGUGUGAGUUCGCCGGGUGUCAUCUCAGCGUCUGCCCGCUGGUUUGCCCAGGUCCCCGGACAAGAGAUCAGGGUGCGAGCAGGAAUUCACCAUUUGCCUGCGGCUGCUGCAGAACGGCAAGGAACAGAUCCCAGGAACGUGCCACCCCCCAGCUUUAGGCACAGUGCGUCAGCCACUCUUUCCUGCUGCUCUGUCAAAUGCUCCCCUCACACACUGGGGGGCUAUUGAAUGUGCAGGGAAACAGCUCCGCAGUAUUUCUGAAGGAACAGGGAUACGUCUUUCAAUUUCCGGGGGGGAGAGCAAACUCCAAACGUGCUAAAUGGCCUGACCAGAACCUCCAGGGACAAGAUGCCACGUUCGAGCAGAAGAAACAAGAAACAAAGAACCUGGAGAAAGCAAGAGUGGGCUGGUUUAUUUUGAGGUUGCUUCCAUUAGGUUUUCAACCUACUUUGCUUCCCGCAACAGUAACUCAGGGCAGAAACUGAAGAAUGAGGAGACACCACCAGAGCCAGCAGAUAUCCAGAAGGCACUUGGCGCUGCCAUGGAAAACAAUCUCCACAACAGGAAAGAGCCCUAGGAAGCAGCUAAGCCAGAGACCUCCUGAUUCACUGCACUAGAACUAGCAGAAAGUUUUAAAUUAUUUACUUGUACAACAUAGACAUUGGGCCUAAUUCUGCCCUUCCAUGGGUUUUAUGCUGAUGUAACUUUCCUUACGUCUAUGGGAUUCCUCCAGAUUUACACCAGGAUGAGAGGGGAAUCAGCCCCAGUGACUCCAAUAGGGUUACUCCAGAUUUACACCAGGGUGAUUGAGAGGGGAAUCUGUCCCAUCGUUCUUAAACUGGCUGCCUAGGAGACACCAGACUCCUUCACAUGUUCAGUCUCUUUGGGGGGUGGUGGUGGUUGUAGGAUUAAAGGAGUCUUCUCUUAAAGGCAGAUCUUCUCUUUGGGCUAUAAACACUCUAGUCCCUGGCUGUGGGGGCAGCAUUCCAUGCAUCCCCUCAUGUGGAUUCUGUUUCCCAACAGCACCCUCCCUCCUAGCCCCAGUCCCCCCUAUACACACACACACACACACGGGGACUCUAGCUAAUCCCUCUGCAGGAACUGAUCUUUGCAGGUGUGGCAUACCCCAGAGAUGGGGUAGGGGGUCACUCUGUAGGGUGGGGGGUGGAACGGAGAGAGUUCUCUGUGCUUUUCACAUCGGUGCUGACAAGGGGAGCACAGAAAGACCAGUAGCUCUGUGAGGUGGAGCAGAAGCAGUUGGUUCUAAGGUAGAUGGAAAGGCUGGCAUGGGGCCGGUUAUGUUGUGCACAUCCCACUCUGGGCUGUGAGCCAGCACACAGUUUGUGAGUCACUCGUGGGCCUUUCUUGGCAGCAGGACACUGUAACCAAAGGAGAGGAAGGUGUUUCCUAUAAGGGAUUAGUUGCGCUGACCCAAACCUCCAAGUGUGGGCAGGUAAAGCUCCCAUAAACUGUGAUUUAAGUCAGUGCAAUUUACCCUAGUCUCAAGCAGGGUUAAGCUCCAUCAGUGCAAACCGUGGCUUAUCCUGUCUACACAGAGUGUUUGCAUUUUGGCAGCUACUCCCAAUGGCUGAAAACCCAGGGUAGACAAGGCCUCAGCUCUGAGUCUGAAUAACAUUUCUAGGCCAUGCACUGUCUAUGGCUUAAGCAGUUGUUUAAUGUGCCUCUUGUUCCACAUUCACUUCAUGCCCAAAGGUUUUACCCAGUGAGCCACAGGGGAGGGGUGAUUCCAAGGGAGAUGGGGGAGCUUCUCUUUGAGGAGAGAUCCAGGCACUUGGAGGAGCUGUAUCCCUUGCCCUGAACCUGGGAAUGAACAAGAAACCCCUGGAAAAACUCCAGCUGAGCCAAACACAGCAGCCCAACCCUGGUAAAAAAAAGAGUCCCUCAGCCUGGCUGCUCCAUUCCCCAUUGAACUCCACAUCCUUUUCCAAGGUCAGUGCCCUGAUCUUCAAAGCUCUCCAGGGCCUGCCCCUGCAUCCACCAUGGAAAUGUCCCACGGACAGUGCACAGGCCCCAGAGCAAAGCCAGGGAGAGAUGGAGACACCUUUGUCAGUAGGGGGCCCAUGGCUGUGGAAAUAUAUUCCUGGAGGAAUCAAGGUGGUCAGGAACCUUUGCAGCCAGGCUUUACCUCAGAGAUAACACGCACAUUAAAAAAACCUCAAUGCAAAUUACCCCACUAUUACAUAGAUGAGAUGAGAGGAGAGAGAGUAAGCCACUCAGCAACACCCCCACCCCCAUUCUAUUUCCUUGCAAGGCACCCCACAGAAUAAAUGCUUAGACAGGACUGAGGGGAGGUGUAGCUAUGUUAGAUGGAGGGUUCAGAAAGGCAGGGGGAUCUGAGCUGGGUGGAGGGAAUCUAAGCACAGUGGGUUGCUCUUCUACUGGGAGGGAGGAGGACUUGCAGGCUAGGAGACUCCCCCUUUGGGUGAUCACUGGGGAGACCAACACCAGAAACUGAUACCUGGAGUAGAAGUCUGGCUUUUUUCUCAGCUCUGGGUGGGGAGUAGGGUCAGGUGCUUAGGACAGCAGGGACUAGGAAUCAGGACUCCUGGGUUCUGUCCCCAGCUCUAGGAGGGGAGUGGGAUCUAGGGGGUCAAAGCAGGGCCUAAGGAAACAGGGCAUUUGGUUCUCUUCCUUCCAUACUCAGUGUGUGACCUUGAACAAGUCACUUUUAUCUCUGUACCUCACUUUACAGAAACAAACACUAACCACCUUUGUAAACUCUUUCGGCAUCUCAGGAUGAGUAUUCAUGAUAAUUUCUUAUGAGUUUCUAAUCUUGGCAGGGGAGCACAGGGCUGUUGGGGAAUGUGUGGUGUGUGUAGGUACAUAACUGUAUUGCUGGUUGUAGCCCUGUCAUUUUUUUUCUCCUUCACUAUUAUAACUCUGGAUGUUCUCAUUCUUCAUAUAAAUGUCCAAUCCCCUUUUUAAAUACUAAUAAUUUCUUGACCUCAGUGGAAUCUUGGGAGUAGUGAGUUCCACAGGCUUAGUCUGCUUUGUAUGAACAUAUAUUUCCUUUGACCAGUUUUAAAUCAGCUACUUUUCUAUGUCAAUGAAUAUUUCCUUGUUCUUGUAUUAUGAGAAAGGAUGAACAGGAGCACCCAAAUGUCCUUUCCUUUCUCAUAUGUUAUUUGGUAUCCCCUUUAUCACUUCUUCUAUUAUUCAUCUCAUCUCUAAGGUGAACAUUACCAGUCUUAUAAAUUUCUCCUCAUAUGAAGGAUUUUCCAGGCCUCUGAUCAUUCUCAUCACCCUUCUCUAAACACCUCUAGUUCUGUAGUCUAUCUCAGAGGGGAUACUGAUCAGUACUACAGACGAUAUUCAAUAAGAGAAUGAACCACUGAUUUACAUAAUGACUGUUUUUGUUUUAUUCUCCAUCCCGUUCCUCAUGCAUAUUAACAUUCUGUUUGCUUUUCCAACAGCAGUGGCACAUUGAGUAAAGGUCUUCACUGAGCUGUCCACACUGAAAUUCCUAACUUGUUACAUUUAUUUUAGAAGCCAAGAGGCUUUAGAAUUACCCUUUCCAAUGUGCAUUAUUUUGCAUUUGUCCACUCAGAAUUUAAUCUGUUAUUAUGUUGCCCAUUCACUCAGCUUGCCUAGAUCUCUCUCAAGCUCCUUACCAUCCUCUCUGGACUUGACAAACCCAAAUAACUGUGUCUAGUGCAAGUUUUGAUACCUGACUACUAAACCUUCUUUCCAGAUCAUUAAUAAAUAUAUUAAACAAAGGAUCUAUACAGAACCCCAUUGUUAUCCUUUUGCCAUGAGGAAAAUUAGCCAUUCAUUCCUACUCUGCUUUCUUUCUCCUAGCCAGUUUCUUAGUAUUCUCUUGUGAAGGACUGUCACAGGAUUUUUGAAAUUCCAACUAAAUUAUGCCUAUCCAGUUCUCCUUUAUCCACAAUUUACUGACAUGAUUUAAGAUUUUAAUCAAUUAGUUAGGCCUCCUAUUCCUUUGCAAAUACCUGCUGGUUUUUCCCUAACAGAUCACGGUCAACAGGUGUUUUAUAAUUUUAAAUUAUCAACCAAUUUAUGUUACAGAAGUAAGGCUCACUGGUCUGCAAUUUCCCAACUUAUACUUAGAACAUUUUUUAAAAUAUAGAUAUAACAUUUUCUACCCUCCAGUUCUGUAGCUGUUUUUAAUGUGAUGUUGCAUAUAUUUGCUAACAGCUUAGCACCUUCAUUCUUAAACUACUUCAGAAAGCUUUAAUGUACCCUCUGGGCCUAGUGACUUACUACCCCUCUUCUUCUGACAAUUCAAUCUCUGAUAGUACCUCAGCCAUAUUACCAGAAAGUAAAGUAAAGUAUCUCCUAAAUGUCCUCACUGGCAAAGACUGAUGCCAAGAAAACAUUUUGCUUAUCACCAAUGUCUAUAUCUUCCUUAAUUGCUCCCUUUACUCCAAGGGACCCAUUGAUUCUUUUGCAGCCUUCCUGUUUCUGAAAGAUUUAAAGAAUCUCGUUUGUUGUUAUACCUUUAGCUAUUUGCUCUCUAAAUUCUAUCUUAACCCAAGCUAGUUUUCUUCUGAUGUAUUGCCUCCUAAAGUUUAUACUCCUUUCCAUUAGCUAUACUUGAUUUGGAUUUCCAUAUUUUGAAGGAUUUCUGUUUGUCCCAAAUUACCUCUGAAUCCUUGCCAUUUAGCUAUAACCAUUUACUUCUUGCCUUUCUGCUUGCUUCUUGUUCAGAGGUAUGCACAUCUUCUGAGACUCCUGCUGUAUCUCUAAGCAACCUCGAUGCUAAAGCUAAGGAUUUUAAUGUCCUUUUUGUGAUUUUAGGCUCUUUUUGAUGUUUCUUCAUUAAAAAGUUUCCCCUUUCUAAAGUUUGUCACUAUAGCUGUUAUUAUUUCUAUCGCAGUAGCACUUAACGCCUAUGAUCAAAUCCCCAUUGUGCCGGGUAUGCUACAAAGAACUAAAACAAAGACAGUCCCUGGCCCAGACAGGUCACAAACCAGAAGUAUAACAAGACAACAGAUUGAUAUAAGAACAGUGCUGUGUGUGCAGAGAAGGAGGCAACAAAGUAAGAGUAAAGACCAGCAUGUUAGUUUUAAAGGUACCCCUAAUAUAACAUUUCUACUUUUCCUCACUCUUUGCCAUUGAAUGUAAUUGUACUACGGUUGCUAUUACUUAGGCUUUGUCUACACUACACAGCUUUUAGCGGCAUGGCCAUGUCGCUAAAAGUUGGGCAGCGUAAAUACUGUUUGCUGGCACUUUCACCAACAAAAUACUUCCACCCCAUAUGAGCAGGGUUUGCGCUGUGACAGGAGAGCACUCCAGCCAACAACUAGCCAUUUACCCUGCCACUUGCUGCAGCAAAACUUGUGUCUUUUUUUUUUUUUUUGGGGGGGGGGGGGGGGGGGCGGGGCGGGUCAGGUCAUUUUAACACCCCAGAAAGACAAAAGUUGUGUCAGUCAGUCGCCAGUGUAGACUUAGCCUGAGGCUUUGUCUACACUGCCAAUUGAAUGACAAAACUUUUAUCUUUCAGGGGUGUUAAAAUGACAUCCCCCCCUCCAAAAAAGACAACAAGGAACAACUCUCCUGCCGACAAAGCUAUGACACUCGUUGGGGGUGGAAGUAUUUGGUCAGCAAAAGAGCCGACAAACAGCAACUGUGCUGCCCAACUUUUAGCGACACGGCUGUAGUGACACAGCUGUGCCGCUAAAAGUUGCGUAGUGUAGAUGAAGCCUUAGUGGUGUAACUAGAGUUCUUUUCUAAACCAGUUUUGGUGCAUUACUUAGGGCUGAGUCAAGAAUAGCAGAACAGAAGGAUCAAGGCUUUGAGACAAAAUGAUUCACUACAUUUUAAAUAACUGUCAUGAAUUUGAGAAAUUCUGUUGCUUAGCUAAGGAAAUAUAGAUCUGAGAAUUUCCCAAAGUACUAGAAUCUUUAUUGUUUACCGCAGCAAUCAGCGACUAUCACAAUCGCAAUGCACACAGGGAAGAAGCAGUCAGAGAGUUAUUACUAAAAUGCUGCAUUAAACUUUAAAGUGAUCAAAGUGAUAACCAGAGAUUACACAAAGUUAUUAAAAAAAAAAUCCACAUUAUCCGGAUGGUAACCUACCUACCUGUAACCUGAGAAGCUGAUUUCUAUUGUUAGCUUAAAUCUAAUUCUUUAAAUACAGGACUUAAUUGGCAUUAACAAACUCUAACUCCCUAUACAGACUAGAAGGGGGAAGCUUAACUCACAGCUGGAGGACUAAACAAAUGAAGCUAGUUUCUCAAACUAUUUAGCAAAGUCCUUCUACACAGAUUCUCAACCUUCCAAGAGAAGCUUAAGAGGUGACCUGAUAAUAGUCUACAAAUAUCUACUUAAGAGUUAGAUUUUUUAUAGCAGAUGGCUCUUUAAUGAGGCAGAAAAAGGUAGAAUGAGAUUGGAAAUAAGGUGCAUAUUUUUAUCUAGCUUCAAUUUUCUAGCCAGGAGAUCAAUCUGAAUUUAACACUAAGGGUAAUUAGUCAUUGGAACAAUUUACCUAAGGAUGUGGUGGAUCCUCCAUCAUUUGAAGACUGGAUAUCUCUCUAAAAGAUAUGCUAUAGCUCAAAAAGAAGUUUUGGGCUUCAUACAGAUGUUCUUGGAUGAGGUUCUUUGGCUGGCUAUGCAGGAGGUUAGUUUACACAAAUAUAAUGGUCCCUUCUGACCUUAAGAUCUAUGAAUUGUUGCAGCAAAACUACUUUACAAAUGUUCAUAACACAGUUUCUAAAAACAACAAAAAAAAUGACAUUUUUGUGAAGAAAUUUGCCGAGUAUAACUUUCAUACAGUUUUAACCAUGUUUUUCAUUUACACAAGAGCGUAUAGUUACAGUUACUUAAGGCAGCAUGAACAAUACCAAUAUAACAGAACAAAGGAGUUCAUGCAAUCAGAACUUUACACAACUUCCUAGCUGAAGGUUGUUUCAACUCUGUGAGCAGAAUGUUAUACAAAUACACAAUUUGCAGAGUUGCUGAGAGCGUCUCCACUUGUACUGAGAUUUCGAGUUAAAGCAGGGAAUUCAUCACACAAUUGCACUUCCGGAUCUCCAUCCUGCCCCAGCUCUGCUGAUGUCCUUCGGUCCUGACACACAGCCCACCCCCCACCUUGCUACUCCAGUCCUGGGUUAACCCACCCCGCACUGCCAACGCUCCUCAAUCCCAACUGACAGCUGCUCUGCAUUCCCGCCCGGGCUACCCAGCACCCACCCAGCUCUGCGAACACCCCUCAGUCCUGAGCCUAUUUGCACACACACACCCCGCGGCAGAAGGAGAGCGCUAAGCGGGGAACCAGCCCCCGGGCUCGGGGUGUGAGCUCCCGCCGAGCCAGGAGGGCCCCGGUUCCCUUCACUCCACUCGCUGUGGGCGGGCCCGCGCAGCAACAAGUCCGGGCGCGCGGGAAGGCCUAGGCCCUGCCGCCGGCAAAGAAGAAGGGCGGAAGUGACCUAUUAGGACGGGCGUAGAAGCCACGCCCACUGCCUCAGCAGGCAGCCCUAGCCUGACUACACCAGGCACAGGGGCGGAAGUGACGUUUUAGCGAGCCGGCAAUAUCCUCCCACUCCCUGGGAUACAGCGCGGGCGGAAGAGAGCGUAGCCGUGCCACUGCGCCUGCUCAAAAGACGACGGGCGCGUAGGCGACGGCGUUGGGCUGACCUACGAAGAGGGGAAGGGAGGAAUGACGUGCGUGUGAGCGGCGCGAAACCGGAGACAGUCACGUGCCCCGGCAGCGGCGCCCGGUUUCUAGGAGCGGCUCCGCUUAGCCCCCGCGCGUGCUAGGCCCGCAGCCCGUACAGCGGGGUCCGCGGAGCUCGGGCGCUGGGCUCUGCGGGUGGCGCCACGCAGCCGCCUCCCCGCACCGGCUCCAGAGGUGGGGGUCCCCCAGCGCGGUCACAAGCGCCGUAGGCAGCCCUGAGGAGCCAGGAGCCCCGCACCCAGGCUUCCCUCAGACCCUGUUUGCCCCUCCCCCACCCCCUGCCAGGCUCCAGCCUGUUUCUUCCCCGCGCCUCCCUUCAGCCCGCCCCUCGCCCCCACCCCGCACUCUCCAGCCCCACCCGCUCCCUGUCUCAAGCCUUUUGUGUCUGCCCGGAGUGUGCUCCGGCAUCCCCAUACUUGCCUCGCGGCCUGCAGCAAGGGUCGUGGGAGGCACGACCGACCAGAGGAUGUUUCGCCGUUGGAGAGACACUAGUAACUAAACUUCGCCGCCACGUGCUAAUGAGUCAGCAAGGGGCUCGGCUGAUCACAUGCCGCUUGGACAACACUCACCUCCACAGCUGCUUCCCCUGGAGGCCGAACCCAUUGAAACGUGUCAAAUCUGUUGCGGACACACAACGUGGAAUAGAACCCAGCUCACGUCGGGCUUGCCUACACUGUGCUAUUAUGUAUUUAGUGUUUGUGAGCCCCGUGGACCUGGACCUCAUUGUGCCAGGCGCUGCACAAACACUGAACAAAGAGAUGGUCCCUGCCCAGGGAUCUCAUUAUCUAAAUAUAAAAAAAGAGACCAUAAAUGGGUACAAACCCUACUCCUGGGGGAAUUCUGCACCACGGCACAUGUGCAGAAUUCAUGUCCCAUGCAGAUUUUUUUGCUUUCCUGCAGAAUAAUUCAGUUCUGUUGGGGAAGCAAAGGGAAGCCACAAGAGGGGUCAUAUGUCCCUCCUGGGCAGUGCAAGUGUGUCAGUUUGGGUGUUGGGAGCAGCUGGGGUAGAUGUAAAUUACCACGGGGAGGUGGGAGUGGCAGAGCUGGGUGUGCAUGCAUGCAAGUGAGGCUGUGUCCCUCUCGCUCACUAGCGUGGUGUGCCAGACGUGCAGGGGCAGGCUCUGUUCCCUCAGGCAGAGUAGAAUGUAGAACCCUGCCUGCUUAGUGAAUUGUUCAUGUGUUACAAAUGUGCUCCGUGAACUGUUUACUACUGACCUUUCUGGAGAUGGUCAGUAUCCAAUAUAAAUUGUGAACUUGAUUCCCCAGCCCUCGCUUGCUCUCAGUUGUCUACGAUGUAAUACUGAGCAUACGGCUUCAUAUACUUGUUGACUAAUAACUAGUAAUAAAGGGUCAAACCUA